rnacentral:rRNA from 1 species
UACGAAGGGAGCAAGCGUUGUUCGGAAUUACUGGGCGUAAAGGGCGUGUAGGCGGUCUAGUAAGUCAGAUGUGAAAGGCCUGGGCUUAACCCAGGAAGUGCAUUUGAAACUGCGAGACUAGAGUACGAGAGGGGGUAGUGGAAUUACGAGUGUAGAGGUGAAAUUCGUAGAUAUCGGGAGGAACACCAGUAGCGAAGGCGACACUCUGGGCCGGUACUGACGCUGAGGAGCGAAAGCGUGGGGAGCAAACAGG